rnacentral:rRNA from 2 species
AAACGACUCUCGGCAACGGAUAUCUCGGCUCUCGCAUCGAUGAAGAACGUAGCGAAAUGCGAUACUUGGUGUGAAUUGCAGAAUCCCGUGAACCAUCGAGUCUUUGAACGCAAGUUGCGCCUGAUGCCUUCUGGCUGAGGGCACGUCUGCCUGGGUGUCACGC